AGCGGAGUGCUCGAGUGCGCCUGCCGCCUGCCGCCUGGAUCACGGUGGCGCGGCGUGAACCUUGCCUAGUAAACACAGAUCUUUUUGUUUCAAUUCAUCAUCAAGAUCAUUCUUCACAAACUAAGGCAACUUCUGCCCAAAUGAUAUCCCAUGACUCAAGGAUAAUGGUGUGAGACAGGACCUGCACUUCAGAAGUAUGUAAGGAAAGUAUUGUAUUUGUUCGGGUGAUGGUGUAAAGAGCAGAAGAGACACUUUGAAGCUGUAGAGUGAGUUAGUGAGAGGAUUGAGCGAAUCUUGGUAAAAAUUUCUCACAAUGGAUAGUGAUUGUUGUGAACUAAUAUACUUUACACUGCAUGGAGUUGCAAUGUUCUAAGUAGAAUUCAAAUACAUUGUCUACUUCUUCUUAUGUAGCUACAUGUUGAAAAAGUGUUGAAUGUGUUCUUUGUUUAUUAUGUUUUAAACAUGCCUUUUCCACAAUUGGAUACUUACUAGCUUACUUCUGUUUAAGCUCAUUUUCUUAAUAAUGUUCCUCGAUGCUUUCUUUACCUUAAACAAUGGUGGUGAGUAAUGACUUCAAUUAAAGUACAACAAUCCACCUUAAUGAGUGAGUGAAUGAACCAAUGAGGACCAACGAGGAUACGCCUCAAGUAAGUCUGUACCUUUGGAACAAAGGCGUUGUCACAUGCUUCACCUGCUGACGUGUUAGUAUGCAUUUAACUAUUGUACCUAAUCAUAUGCUUCACUUGCUGACAUGUUAGUAUACUUUUAACCACUAGUUAAAAUUUACCUAAUUAUAGUUAUAAUUAUAAUCAUAUAGUUAUAGUUAUGCUUAUUGCUUUCUCUGUUGUUGUCAUUAUGCUAUGGUUCUCUUCCCUCCAGGCUCAGUAUAAGUGAAGAAUGUAUAACGAUUAAGAUUUUGUUGUGUAGGACUCGUUUUAGUCACAUAGUUCACAUAACAGUAUACUCGGAGGUUUCAAAGUAGAAACAUUAAUUUGAAUUUACAAAUUUUUUAUUGUAAGUAAACAAGUCCAACUGCAAUUUAUACAUGAAUAAGUUAACCUUUUCACCUUAUGACACGUAUGUACAAACUAUACAUCUUUGCAAUGGAGGGACAUUGUUCUGUGACAUGCUCAGUGGGAGUAGUUAAUAGGGAAGGCCAUUAACACUCUAGUAUUUAUCAGUACAGUUUAGAGUGGAAUAAUUUGUGCACAAAAAAAGCAUUAAAGUUUAAUAUAUCUUCAGUAACUAAUUCAAGCGGCUCAGAUCAUGUACACAGGAGUAAAAGAAAUGGUAUAUACCAUGUACUUAUCAACUGUUGAUUAAUAUAUAUAUGUUCAUAUUACAGUCAGUUCUACUUUAUAGAAAACUAGCUCUAUUUUUUGUCAUUGAAUGCCAUUCCAUUAGUGACCGACCAGCAGCAACAUAACACUUCUUAGUGCCACUUGUAAAGAUCCAGUGUGCCGUACAUGGUUAUUACUGAUCUGAAGUGCUUGUCAUCAUCAGUAAUGUUUGCAUAGCAGUGACACAGUAUUCACAGUAUUCAUGAUGUAUCACAUAUAUAUAUAACACUUAUUCAAGUAAAAGGCACGUGUAUACGUUCGGUUUUAUUUACUUUAGCGAGUUAUAGAAAAAUACAGGAUUGCAAGUGCAAAUACUAUUCAGGACACUAUACAGAUUUGCAUAAGGUUAAAAUUGUGAUUCUCUUUCAGUGUACUAGAUCCAACAAGACUUUGGACAUGGCCGUGCAUUUGUGGUUUUGCAAAAUACUGAAGAAUGCUCAGAGUGACCACUUGCGAAGCGUUGAGUUGCCGUGCUUAUUCCAGUCUUCCUGGGUGAUCCUGGAUUGGGUGAAGGCAGGUGACUCGGCCAACACGCAGGCACCAAUGUAUGCAGCGUGGUAACGGUAAGGUGAUGCGUGAACCUGUCAGGAUAACAAACAUGUCAAGCUCAAGUGUGAAAGUUUAGUGUAAUUUGUUAAUCACAAGAGACGCAAGAGAGCAGAUUUUGAUGUGCACUUAUUUUAAUGAAAGAAAACUACACAUUGAUUGAUUUAGGAAUGUUAACUACAACUAAAAAUGUGUCUUAACAUCAACAGUUAGGUAGUAACUUUUGAAUUGGUUGCCUCACCUUGGGUCUGAUGGCAGGUGGGGUAAGGUUGUCCAGCUCUGUGGUGAGACGGUCCACCAGGCCAGGGAGCUGCGUCACGCCUCCAGCAAGGAAGAUGCUGCGGCUCAUUUCUUUGCGAAUGUCCAUACUGCACUCCUGUGGGACAGACCAAUGUCGAUGGGAAAACAAUCUGUCCAGGACCCUCUGGACCCUGUGUACAUGAAAUGUACACCAAGAGAAAGUAUCUACUCGUGUGAUUACUUGCCCACCACUCGCUGGAAAAAGAUGACCAAGAAGAGUCAUUUUGAAAAGUACUACUAUCCAGCAAAAAGGACACAAGCUCCCACCCACAUCCUUGUAAGAGUUAUUAAUUAAUGGAUGGAUGUUUAUUGAUAACUGGGACCUCAAGAAACCAUGCUUUUAUCAUGGCCCGGGUGUUCAAGUUUUAGAG
rnacentral:misc_RNA from 1 species